AGCGGCGGAUGGGUGAGUAACACGUGGGGAACCUGCCCCUAAGUCUGGGAUACCAUUUGGAAACAGGUGCUAAUACCGGAUAAUAAAGCAGAUCGCAUGAUCAGCUUUUGAAAGGCGGCGUAAGCUGUCGCUAAGGGAUAGCCCCGCGGUGCAUUAGCUAGUUGGUAAGGUAACGGCUUACCAAGGCGACGAUGCAUAGCCGAGUUGAGAGACUGAUCGGCCACAUUGGGACUGAGACACGGCCCAAACUCCUACGGGAGGCAGCAGUAGGGAAUCUUCCACAAUGGACGCAAGUCUGAUGGAGCAACGCCGCGUGAGCGAAGAAGGUUUUCGGAUCGUAAAGCUCUGUUGUUGGUGAAGAAGGAUAGAGGUAGUAACUGGCCUUUAUUUGACGGUAAUCAACCAGAAAGUCACGGCUAACUACGUGCCAGCAGCCGCGGUAAUACGUAGGUGGCAAGCGUUGUCCGGGUUUAUUGGGCGUAAAGCGAGCGCAGGCGGAAAAAUAAGUCUAAUGUGAAAGCCCUCGGCUUAACCGAGGAACUGCAUCGGAAACUGUUUUUCUUGAGUGCAGAAGAGGAGAGUGGAACUCCAUGUGUAGCGGUGGAAUGCGUAGAUAUAUGGAAGAACACCAGUGGCGAAGGCGGCUCUCUGGUCUGCAACUGACGCUGAGGCUCGAAAGCAUGGGUAGCGAACAGGAUUAGAUACCCUGGUAGUCCAUGCCGUAAACGAUGAGUGCUAAGUGU
rnacentral:rRNA from 1 species